UGAGCGUGGACGGCUGGAGGCGACGGCUGGAGCACACAGUCCUCAGCAGCUGCCUGGACUGAGGAGAGCAGGGGAGAAUGGGCCGGCGCUGAAACUCUACCCCGCUCCCGCCCACAUCUUUAAAGGCGAAGGCCAGGUUGACCAGCAGAUGGCAGGCGUUAACACGUUUCCCUACUGAUUACUGGUGUGCGUAGUCAGCAAACCUGAACAACAUUGACUCUACAAGAAAAGAAAUGUGUGGGGAAACACAAAAUGGGAAUGAGAAUAAUACAAAGAGCGUCUGUUUAUCUUUAGAAUAAACUGCUAUUCAAUUUAUGUAAUUCAUGUUUUUCUCCCCGUUCAAUUUGAGAUUUUUCCCAGAAAAAAUAGUAACUUUUCAUCAUUGCUUCAGUGUGGCACACAUCAAAACAAAGACUGCUAGGAAAGGAAGAUAAUGCUGCAGGAAAACACUGUUGAGACUCGGCCGUGAAAAGAGAGAGGAAAAGGAAAUGACAAAGCACAGAGCCAUCUCAUGACUGGCUCAUAGUCUGAUACCGAGACUAAUUCUGAGACUAAUUCAUCUAAAACAAACAGAACAUGCAUUUUAAUUUAUGUGUACAAAUAAAUAAAAUAAAGACUUCUGUAAAGCACCUGUAAAUGAAAUGCACAACCAUGGAUUAAAAUCUAAUUUAUA